GAAACACUAAACCUCUUUGUUCUCCAUUUUCCUUGUUAGCAGUGCCUUACAUACAGCUCUAUCUGAUGCCUAACCUUUCCAAUAGCUAUCCUUGCAGGAAUUCAGUCCUAAAACUUCAUGAUAUCACAGGGUAUCGUCUCUUUUUCCGUAUUUCUCAAUCAGUAAAUAUGCAUGAACUUAUAAUGAUUGAUGGAAGAGCCACAGUACAAGGAUUGCUCCCUAAUUUGACUAUACAAAGAACCACAAGGCAGCAAGGCACUCAACAAAAAUGAUAUAAAAUUCAGAUCCAC
rnacentral:misc_RNA from 1 species